UUUUGGACAAUGGGCGCAAGCCUGAUCCAGCCAUGCCGCGUGAGUGAAGAAGGCCUUCGGGUUGUAAAGCUCUUUCGGCCGGGACGAAACGGUUCGUGCUAAUACCACGGACUACUGACGGUACCCGCAGAAGAAGCACCGGCUAACUACGUGCCAGCAGCCGCGGUAAUACGUAGGGUGCAGGCGUUAAUCGGAAUUACUGGGCGUAAAGCGUGCGCAGGCGGUUUGUUAAGACAGGUGUGAAAUCCCCGGGCUUAACCUGGGAAUUGCGCUUGUAACUGGCAGACUGGAGUGUGGCAGAGGGGGGUGGAAUUCCAAGUGUAGCAGUGAAAUGCGUAGAUAUUUUGAGGAACACCGAUGGCGAAGGCUAGCCCCCUGGGCUAACACUGACGCUCAUGCACGAAA
rnacentral:rRNA from 1 species